rnacentral:rRNA from 1 species
UACAGAGGGGGCAAGCGUUGUUCGGAAUUACUGGGCGUAAAGGGCGCGUAGGCGGCCUGCUAAGUCGAACGUGAAUCCCCGGCUUAACCCGGGAACUGCGUCCGAUACUGGUGGGCUUGAAUCCGGGAGAGGGAUGUGGAAUUCCAGGUGUAGCGGUGAAAUGCGUAGAUAUCUGGAGGAACACCGGUGGCGAAGGCGGCAUCCUGGACCGGUAUUGACGCUGAGGCGCGAAAGCUAGGGGAGCAAACGGG